UACGUAGGGGGCUAGCGUUGCUCGGAAUCACUGGGCGUAAAGGGCUCGUAGGCGGCCAACUAAGUCAGACGUGAAAUCCCUCGGCUUAACCGGGGAACUGCGUCUGAUACUGGAUGGCUUGAAUCCGGGAGAGGGAUGCGGAAUUCCAGGUGUAGCGGUGAAAUGCGUAGAUAUCUGGAGGAACACCGGUGGCGAAGGCGGCAUCCUGGACCGGCAUUGACGCUGAGGAGCGAAAGCCAGGGGAGCAAACGGG
rnacentral:rRNA from 1 species